rnacentral:rRNA from 1 species
GUGGGGAAUAUUGCGCAAUGGGCGGAAGCCUGACGCAGCCACGCCGCGUGAGCGAUGAAGGCCUUCGGGUCGUAAAGCUCUGUGGGGAGAGAAGAACCAAGCCUGUGAAGAGCGGGCCCUGACGGUAUCUCCUUAGCAAGCACCGGCUAACUCCGUGCCAGCAGCCGCGGUAAUACGGAGGGUGCAAACGUUGCUCGGAAUCAUUGGGCGUAAAGCGCACGUAGGCGGUUUCGCAAGUUGGAUGUGAAAGCCCUGGGCUCAACCUAGGAAGUGCAUCCAAAACUGCGAGACUUGAGUCCCAGAGGGGGUCGGAGAAUUCCCGGUGUAGAGGUGAAAUUCGUAGAUAUCGGGAGGAAUACCAGUGGCGAAGGCGCCGACCUGGAGGGGUACUGACGCUGAGGUGCGAAAGCGUGGGGAGCAAACAGGAUUAGAAACCCCAGUAGUCC